AUUGAACGCUGGCGGAAUGCCUUACACAUGCAAGUCGAACGGUAGAGGGGGCAACCCCUCGAGAGUGGCGAACGGGUGAGUAAUAUAUCGGAACGUGCCCAGUCGUGGGGGAUAACGUAGCGAAAGUUACGCUAAUACCGCAUACGAUCUAAGGAUGAAAGCGGGGGAUCGCAAGAUCUCGCGCGAUUGGAGCGGCCGAUAUCAGAUUAGGUAGUUGGUGGGGUAAAGGCUCACCAAGCCAACGAUCUGUAGCUGGUCUGAGAGGACGACCAGCCACACUGGAACUGAGACACGGUCCAGACUCCUACAGGAGGCAGCAGUGGGGAAUUUUGGACAAUGGACGAAAGCCUGAUCCAGCAAUGCCGCGUGCAGGAUGAAGGCCUUCGGGUUGUAAACUGCUUUUGUACGGAACGAAAAGCCCCGGGUUAAUACCCUGGGGUCAUGACGGUACCGUAAGAAUAAGCACCGGCUAACUACGUGCCAGCCGCCGCAGUAA
rnacentral:rRNA from 1 species